CCUACGGGGGGCAGCAGUGGGGAAUAUUGCACAAUGGGGGAAACCCUGAUGCAGCGACGCCGCGUGAGCGAUGAAGUAUUUCGGUAUGUACAGCUCUAUCAGCAGGGAAGAAGAUGAUGGUACCUGACUAAGAAGCCCCGGCUAACUACGGGCCAGCAGCCGAGGUACUACGUAGGGGGCAAGCGGUAUCCGGAUGUACUGGGUGUAAAGGGAGCGUAGACGGCGAUGCAAGCCAGAUGUGAAAGGGCGGGGCUCAACCCCGGGACUGCAGUUGGCACUGUGUGGCUGGAGUGUCGGAGAGGCAGGCGGAAUGCCUAGUGUAGCGGUGAAAUGCGUAGAUAUUAGGAAGAACACCAGUGGCGAAGGCGGCCUGCUGGACGAUGACUGACGUUGAGGCUCGAAAGCGUGGGGAGCGAACAGGAUUAGAUACCCCGGUAGUC
rnacentral:rRNA from 1 species